rnacentral:lncRNA from 1 species
GCCUUUGAUCAUAUUGAGUGUGGUGGAGAUGGAACAGUCAUCCAUGGCAAUGAUGGAGGCAUUGAAAAGGAUGCCAUUGUGGGUUCUAAACUCUCUCUAUACAAUUUUUUUUAAAAAAAAUUAUACAAUGGCUUUCUAAUCAUCUCUACCAUGUCUCCAUUGAAAAUACUAUCCACUGACAAUCUCCAUCGGAUAGCCCUCC